rnacentral:rRNA from 1 species
GAUGAACGCUAGCGGCAGGCUUAAUACAUGCAAGUCGAGGGGCAGCAUGAAGUAGCAAUACUUUGAUGGCGACCGGCAAACGGGUGCGGAACACGUACACAACCUUCCUUUAAGUGGGGAAUAGCCCAGAGAAAUUUGGAUUAAUACCCCGUAACACAACGAAGUGGCAUCACUUUGUUGUUAUAGUUUCGGCGCUUAAUGAUGGGUUUGCGUAUGAUUAGCUAGUUGGCGGGGUAGCGGCUCACCACGGCUACGACGGGUAGCCGAUGUGAGAGGAUGACCGGCCACAUUGGGACUGAGAUACGGCCCAGACUCCUACGGGAGGCAGCAGUGGGGAAUAUUGCACAAUGGGCGGAAGCCUGAUGCAGCAACGCCGCGUUCGGGAUGACGGCCUUCGGGUUGUAAACCGCAUUCGCCUGUGACGAAGCGUGAGUGACGGUAAUGGGUAAAGAAGCACCGGCUAACUACGUG